ACACGACUACAUUAGACUACCCGGUAGUCCCAGCCCUAAACGAUGCGCGUUAGGUGUAUCGGUGACCACGAGUCACCGAGGUGCCGAAGGGAAACCGUGAAACGUGCCGCCUGGGAAGUACGGUCGCAAGGCUGAAACUUAAAGGAAUUGGCGGGGAGCACCACAACGGGUGGAGCCUGCGGUUUAAUUGGACUCAACGCCGGGAAGCUCACCGGAUAAGACAGCGGAAUGAUUGCCGGGCUGAAGACUCUGCAUGACUAGCUG
rnacentral:rRNA from 1 species